rnacentral:lncRNA from 1 species
UAUUAUUAUUUUAGUUAGAUUUAGUUUUAUUAUAUUUUAGGUUGAUUUCUUAUUUUUAUAUUUCACCUAGGUUAGUUAUUUUUAUAUUUUAGGUAGAUUUGUAAUUUUUAUUUAGCUAGGUUUGUUGUUUUUAUUUUUACAAUCUUUUAGGAGAUUUGUUAAUUUUAUUUUUCACUCCUAUUUAAGCUAAAUUAUUGUAGCCUUGAAGGCAACCUUUUGAUUCAAUAAAAAUUCAGAGAUUUUUCUCAAAUUUGGUGGAUUCCAAAUUACUC